UACGUAGGGAGCAAGCGUUGUCCGGAUUUAUUGGGCGUAAAGGGUGCGUAGGCGGCGCGGUAAGUCGGGUGCGAAAUCUCGGAGCUUAACUCCGAAACUGCAUUCGAUACUGCCGUGCUUGAGGACUGGAGAGGAGACUGGAAUUUACGGUGUAGCGGUGAAAUGCGUAGAUAUCGUAAGGAAGACCAGUGGCGAAGGCGGGUCUCUGGACAGUUCCUGACGCUGAGGCACGAAGGCCAGGGGAGCAAACGGG
rnacentral:rRNA from 1 species